UCUUAUGGAUAAGCAAAGAAAGUGGUUUCCUAAAAUGGAAACUACUUCUGGGGAAGACGCUGUGAC
rnacentral:pre_miRNA from 1 species